AUGAAGGCGGUGAAGUUGUUGGUGAAGAUCGCGGUGAUGAUGAUUGCCCCCAGCAGCGUUCCGGCGCCACCGGAAGCAAGGGGGAGAGAGCCCCCCUUAUUCUUCUUCUUCCUUGACCUCCUCCCUAGAUGGGAGAAGGGUUUCCCCUAUGGUCCUUGGCUCCCAUGGCUUGGGAGGGGCGAGAGCCCCUCCGAGAUUGGAUCUAUCUCUCUGUCUCUCUCUGUUUCCGCGUUCUCUGAUUCUACCCCUUCACCAUUUCUUUUAUAUCUGGAGAUCCGUAACUCCGAUUGGGGUGAAUCUUUUGCCCAGAUUUUCUCAUAA
rnacentral:rRNA from 1 species